GAUGAACGCUAGCUACAGGCUUAACACAUGCAAGUCGAGGGGCAGCACAGUGUAGCAAUACAUGGGUGGCGACCGGCGCACGGGUGCGUAACGCGUAUCCAACCUUCCCGUUACUCUUGGAUAGCCUUCCGAAAGGGAGAUUAAUACAAGAUGGUAUUCAAAUUCCGCAUGUUAUUUGAAUUAAAGAUUAAUCGGUAACGGAUGGGGAUGCGUGACAUUAGAUAGUAGGCGGGGUAACGGCCCACCUAGUCUACGAUGUCUAGGGGUUCUGAGAGGAAGGUCCCCCACACUGGAACUGAGACACGGUCCAGACUCCUACGGGAGGCAGCAGUGAGGAAUAUUGGUCAAUGGGCGGGAGCCUGAACCAGCCAAGUCGCGUGAGGGAAGACGGCCCUACGGGGUUGUAAACCUCUUUAGUCGGGGAGCAAAAAGGCCACGCGUGGUCCAUUGAGCGUACCCGAAGAAUAAGCAUCGGCUAACUCCGUG
rnacentral:rRNA from 1 species